rnacentral:rRNA from 1 species
UUUAACUGGAGAGUUUGAUCCUGGCUCAGAACGAACGCUGGCGGCGUGCCUAACACAUGCAAGUCGAACGAGAAA